rnacentral:rRNA from 1 species
AUUGCCCGCUGGCGGCAGGCCUAACACAUGCAAGUCGAACGAGUGGCGGACGGGUGAGUAAUGUCUGGGAAACUGCCCGAUGGAGGGGAAUAACUACUGGAAACGGUAGCUAAUACCGCAUACGAUCGGAUGGGCCCAGAUGGGAGUAGCUAGUAGGUGGGGUACCGGCUCACCGAGGCGACGAUCCCUAGCUGGUCUGAGAGGAUGACCAGCCACACUGGAACUGAGACACGGUCCAGACUCCUACGGGAGGCAGCAGUGGGGAAUAUUGGACAAUGGGCGAAAGCCUGAUGCAGCCACGCCGCGUGUAUGAAGAAGGUCUUCGGGUUGUAAAGUACUUUCAGCGAGGAGGCGUUACUCGCAGAAGAAGCCCCGGCUAACUCCGUGCCAGCAGCCGCGGUAAUUC